AUUGAACGCUGGCGGCAGGCCUAACACAUGCAAGUCGAACGGUAACAGGAAACAGCUUGCUGUUUCGCUGACGAGUGGCGGACGGGUGAGUAAUGUCUGGGAAACUGCCUGAUGGAGGGGGAUAACUACUGGAAACGGUAGCUAAUACCGCAUAACGUCGCAAGACCAAAGAGGGGGACCCUCGGGCCUCUUGCCAUCGGAUGUGCCCAGAUGGGAUUAGCUUGUUGGUGGGGUAACGGCUCACCAAGGCGACGAUCCCUAGCUGGUCUGAGAGGAUGACCAGCCACACUGGAACUGAGACACGGUCCAGACUCCUACGGGAGGCAGCAGUGGGGAAUAUUGCACAAUGGGCGCAAGCCUGAUGCAGCCAUGCCGCGUGUAUGAAGAAGGCCUUCGGGUUGUAAAGUACUUUCAGCGGGGAGGAAGGGAGUAAAGUUAAUACCUUUGCUCAUUGAUGUUACCCGCAGAAGAAGCACCGGCUAACUCCGUG
rnacentral:rRNA from 1 species